GCCAUAUCUUGACAGGAACUUCAGCUCUGGGAAAAAUACUCUCUAGAGGAAUGAAGAGGGCAUUCAGCCCUGCCAGUGGUCGGUAAAUGGGAACUUGGGUGCCUUAUUCGGGUUUGAGGAACCUUACACCCCUUUGUGUGCCUCUCUGCACAAGGCAAACGGGGAUAUAUGCAGACCACACUGGUGGCCCUGUAAAGAAUGUCACAAAAACCCCUUCAUCCUCUCUCUGAUGAUAGCCCUGGGAGGAAAGCUUUGCCUUCUGCUCGGAUCAGAGCCUAUAUUUGCUUAGGUAGCUGUUCACAUCAUGAACUCCCCUAACCUGCCCGAUCUAGCCUUCCUGGGUUGUAAAUCAGCAAGAGCUGAGGCAGCGCUUAUGAAUGGUGGCCACGAUGAACAGGACGAUGGGUUGCCUGGGGAGCUGAGGCACGAGAGAAAUGGAGGAGCCACAUAAAGGAGGUGACUGAGGAGGCCCUUUGGACCUUUCAGGCAGCCCCCUCCCGGUUUAAAGAGGAGCAACAUCACUGGUUUCAGGAGAAGCACACCGGCAGAAAGCCAGCACAGACAACCUGAAUGAAUCCAGCCCCUGAAACAGCUGGGACUAAUGCACUUGAGAAGGAAACAUCUGCUCUACAGGAAGAAGGUCAAAAGCUGGCUACUAGCCAGGAAAGGAAUUUGAGAUCAUGGUGAAAAUAUCUCUGAAAUGUCUGAACAGACCAUAGUUAGGAGCAGAAGAGACAGCAGAGACAAGGCUGGAUUGCAAUCCUAGGACAACGCAAUGUGCAUUAAAUGCUUGGUGCAGGCUGCUCUGGGCAGCGCUGGUUAGAUGCUGCUUGGAGGAGCCAUUCGACAUCCCGGGAAUUUUGAUGUGGUUGCACCAUAGGCAGUGACAGGAGUCCUCCAUCCUUCUCUGAGCUUGAGGGUGGAAGAUAAAGGGGUGUCAGGACCAUGGGAGAGAGCAUCCUCUGGAGUUAGACAUGGUCAACAGCCUGUUGCUGCUUUAACCAGCACUGCCAGGGGUGGGGGAGAUUAGCCUUCUGCAAGCUAACCUGAAGGUUGCCCAAAUGCUGCUCCAGUCCACAGGCUGGAUAGUACCCAUGUGCAAAUCUUUGGAUGCUACUGCACAAAAAAAUAUAGCGGUGUAGUGUCUCAGUCUGAGACUGGUUCCAUGGCUGACCCUCCUUCAAAUAAAUUAAUGGAAAAACCUGCCAAAACAUGUCAGUGGAGAAACUUCACUGAACCAAGUAGAGGUUUUCCCUGGUUUACAUCACAGCAGAAUGGGGCAAGUAUGGUCUUUGUCCUUCUGGUAGAGCUGGAAGCCAAGGAAGGUCCUGCAGGUGGGGACCCCCACUGAGACAAGGAUCCAAACCGUAUUUGGCAGGUGUCACUUGUGUGGCUUCAGGACAUAUGUGGGUGCUUCCUAGAGGAUUUUUACCCUGUCGUCCCUGGUAUGGUUCCUGCAAUGAUCUGCUGGAGAGCAGGACCAAGCAGGGUUCCUGCUGAGCACCAGAGGCUGGCAUGGGCAAUGGCAGCUCUGUCACUCCUUGGUCUGCCUGCAACGCCUGACCUGUACAGCAACACUGAGAACUGUGCUCCUGCUUCCUUUACCCUCUGUGACCCCUCUGCUGUGCAAAGCAGGCUGGGGUAACUGCAGAGCAGGAGGAAGAGCCCAGGCACAGCACAGUGCUGCAGCAGGGAGAGGAGUGGAUGGUCCUUGGGCAGGCAUGGUCCUCACUUUGCUCCUCUGGGGGAAAACCCCAUGGAGCAGCUGUGCUGCAACCUCCUGCAUGUAAUUAUCACUCCAGUCACCUCUUCUGGGCUUCAGCUCUUCUUCUUCCUGACUCCAUGUCAAACACAGAGGGGUAAAGGCAGGGUGAUGCCAGGCUGCCUGCCUCCUGGGCCACUCAGCAUCCCUUAUUGUGUUUGCUCAGCUGUGGCUUAUUCCACUUUGGAGGCAUUUCCCUAAAACCUAAAACCAGCAGUGAUGGUGGGGAGGAAAUUUGCCUUCUGUUCCCUCCCUAAAAAGCAUUGUACCUCUUUAAAGAAGCUACUAAAUAAGUACAGGAGUUUUUCUACCCAUAUAGUGGGUAAAUAUGCUGCUAUAAAACCUUUGGACAACACAGCAGUUUGAUCAAGUGACUUAAUUUCCAGUGCAAAGCACCUGACAACAUACUGCAUUAACAAGAUAAAACCCUUGUUUAUCUUGCUGGGACUGGGAAUGGCUCUGCUCCCAUCCUUGCUGUAUGACGAUUAGCGGGUUUCCUACACCUGCCCACUCUCCUCUGUCUUUCAUACCCUCUUACAGUCAGGUUUUUAGGACUGGGGCAACCUCUGAGUUGUAUCAGGGUGAGGUUAAGGGGUGCCCCAGUAAUAGAGUAGUUGCUGAACAAGAGGAGUCACUGCUGCCCUUCUGGGACUUCCCAGGGACACCUGAGAGUGAGCUCAGCCCCAGGGUUAGGUUACCCUGUGUGGUACCCAGACAGGUUCACUGGGUGCCCCAGAAGCAUCACUCUGUGCCUCCAGGAUGUUCUACUUCCAGCCCAAAGUGACUCACUUGCUCCUUUCUCCAGGCUGCCUUUUUCUUCCAGACUUCAGCCAUGGUACAGGGUCAUGUUUGGGGUUUUCUGCUGAGAUGAAUCCUUGUCUGUCAGUGGGACAGGGUCCUUCUCCCUUCACCUCACCCUACUUACAGGAGAAGGAGUUUGUGUAUUGUCAUAGCCACAAAAAAUAUAUUUUGGAGAGGACUUUAAACCUAAUGAUUCAGGGUGGGAAUCAAUGUCAGUGGUACUCCUCCAGCAGGCAGAGCUCCUCACAGUGUCUCACACAACAGGGUUGUCCUCGUCCCACCAGUUACUGGAAAAGGUGGAUAUGGAGAUACUAAAGGCAGCCCCGCCCUGCCAAGAAACCCCUCUAAUAGCAUAUUCCUAUGGAUAUUUUCAUUUCAACAUAGAAAACAAGCUAUUACACAAGUGAAGCAUCUCCCGGACAAAUGGGGAGAGCUGUAGGUUUUGUUUUCCUAUGUAGGUUGCGAGGUGGAGAGUGCUUGCGGUGUUAUGGGCAAGCAGGCUUCGUGGUGGGUGUGAAUAUUAUAAGGUCUCUGACCCUUACGUGUUAGUGCUUACAUCACUGCGGGGAAAAGCACUCAAACAGCCAUAAUGUGGAUUAGCCGUGUUUCCUCCUUCUGGGACAUACUGCAGCAGUCCAGAUUUUCAAGUGCUCAGCUCUCAGCUGUGACCCCUUCCGAAAAUCUGUCCCCUUGCUCUGGGAGCUCUCCUGGCUCCAGACUCUGCAAACACUCCCCAUGUGUCAGUGCACAGAGAAAAAAAUACAAGAAACAACAACUGCAGAAACACCCAAGCCCCAUAUGGAACAAAGAGGGUAUUUAGAGACCCUGAAUAAGAGUCACCCUGCCCCGAAAAGGCUACUAUUUAGUAUUUUUCCUUCUACUUUCAUUUCCUAACUGCCUCAGACGUCCUUUUGCAGGCUUUUAUGGCAGGAGGGAUGAUGCGUUGCUCUCUGCCCUGGUGAGACAGCCAGCUCGGGUCCUGCAGUCCCUGCCUGAGCAAAGCCCUCGUUGUCUCGAGAACUUUUCAGGGAAAGUUUCCUCCAACUGCUCAGCUGGGCUUGCUGCCAGCAAAGCCAGCCCCUCUGGGCUCAUCAGAAGAGACCUUGUACUACAUUUUCCACUAUACUUAUCUAAUCUUGGCUUGCGUCCAUCUAGUGUUUGUGCAGUAAUUACCUCACUAGGCAAAACAGUUCCACUGCCUAAUUGUCUUCACUCUCAGGAAAUUGUUCCUAAUAGCUAACUAAAUUUAAUCUCCCUUUCCUUGCUCCAUCCACUGCAGCAAACCUGUGCAGCCCUUCACCCUCUGCUUACGGUUCUAUACAUGAAGCGAUUAUAUAGUCUUAUCUGCUCUUAUUUCUUUAGGUCAAACACGCAAAAUUACUUUCUAGGACUUGUGUGAGUCACAACCAUCAUCCUUAACUCAGUUUCCUUGGCCUUGUUUGAACUCCUUUCUGCAGUUUUGCAGACCACGUCCAAAACUGAAGCGUGAUCAGCUCCCAAGUGCAUUGAAAUCACGAAUAAGGCUACCACAAAACAACUUUUCCUUAAAAAAACAGGAAUCUAAAAAGAAGAGAGGGUUUUUUAAAAGUUCACCUAGAUCUUGAGCCUUGAGAGUUUUCUUUAAACUUUUUUUCCAGUGGCUUUCAAUGAUUGAUAUAUCCUUGAUUUUCUAAAUGGAAGGUAAAUGUAUGCAGAUGAUCUUUAAAUAAAAUGUCCUUUAUUUUACCAAAUGAGUUGGCACUGCUGGAACAGAGCAAGCUUAAGGGCAUAACAGUAGCUAUGAGUCAUAAUACAAACCAAAAGGGUAGUCCUUGUCCCCUUGUUUCCCACAAGCCUGAAUUGGCAAACAUUUUUGGUGGGGUAUCUUGCCUUAAAAGAGUCAGUAGAUAUCAGGGAAAUUUCUGACUUCUCAACUUGAAGGCCCUCCCAAGAGCCUUGAAAACAGCAGCAGAGACAAUCCAAAAUUACUGAGUCCAUAUUUUGGGUGGUAGAAGACCCGUAGGUGCGUCUGCUGGAGUUUCGUUCUAGAGAGGAGCAAAGCUGAGGGCUAGGUGAAGCAAGGAUCAGAUGGGGUUCUGCUUUGGUGUGUGCUGUGUAGGAAUUUAAUAGGUAAGUGUGUGCUGGGGGAAGUGAUCUGAGAUGUCAAGGUGUAUUCGUAUUCGAGAGCCAUCGAAUGAGGAGGGAAUGGUGCAUGGGGCUUGCUGGAAAGCUGCCACAUGAGAAAGAGCAGUUCUGCUCCCAGCCUUUGCCCCUGAAAGAGCUGAUGACCUCCCCCUGCACCCCUCUGCCACUGAGGACUGCAGAAACAGUGAUUGGUUUUCACAAUGUCUAAUAGAAACUUCCCUUCAAUCAGCCCCCUCCAACCUUUGCACCAUAACCAGGCCCUAUGUACGCUGUGUCUGUACAGGGACCACAAGUUCAGGUUGCUCUCCAAGUCUGCCCUUGAGCCUUCUUCUCAAUGUGUCAUGUCCUGCAACACCAGGCAUCUUUAGGAAGCCUGUUCUGAGUUGUGUCUCCAUCUUCUACUCAACAGAGCAGCAGCAGGGCCAGGAUAUGGGGUCAGCCAAGCAUCUCAGUGGGCUUGGGGCUGGCUGAGAGGCCAGUUUCUGUUGCCUGUCCAUCUUCUCUGCUCCAGUGUGCCCUCCCAAAUGUGUCCUUUGCCACAGCUCUGUGAUGCAGGGUCCACAUAUCCUCACAUACACAGGCAGCCCGCUUCCUAAAAACUCCACGUAGCUACCUCACCUUCACUACAGUGAUUUCUCCACCAGCUCCUUUCCAAGAGGAAAUGACUAUUUUCCAGCUCACAGACAUAUGCGACUGGCCCAGCAGAGCCUCAUGGCAGGAGCGAGUGGGAGGAAAAAGGGUUGUCUUCGAGCUCAGACGAUUGCACCAUCCUGGCAGAACCAGUUUCCCCAAUGAGUCGCAUCCUGCUGGGCUUUUAACACCCCUGUGUUAGCACCUCCGUGUUUCUCAUGUCUGUGCUAUACCCAAACCCUGCUGGGAAGGGGGUUGGUCUUCUUGAGAAAGCCUGUUGCUGAUGGGAGAGCUGGGAUUUCCCCGUGCACCUCCCCCUGUUUGAGCCGUUGCAAGUCAUGUGUCUGCUUUAGCACUGCAAAGGCUUCCUCUGAGGACUUAACCCUGACGGUUAUCACCAAGGACUGCUUGCUGGCACAGCUGGUGUGUGCUGGCUGCUAAGCCAGGAGCUAAGGAAAGUUUGCCCCCAUCUUGGUUUACAGAUUGCCUUUAGGUCUCCAAGCAUUUGGCUCAGGGAUUUCACCUGUCUUUGUGCAGGACCUAGUACAACCACUUCAGUUUGUGCCAAGUAACCCAUGCCUUCCUGCAAUGAAGAUGCUCCAUAUCAAUUAGGAAGAGGAUCAAGGCCAUGAAGGGGGUGUUACGACAAACCUACACGCUGAAGCCUUGUAAGAGAGUGUUGUAGAUGAAACGGGAAAGCUCCCAUGUUAACUCCUCCAACCCACAAUGAGUUUUUAGUCUCGACUGCUGGUGGAAAGACCAUUUGCCCUUGUGAAAGCAAACAGCGCACAUGUCAUAUUGAAACCAGGGGAGGUAGGAAACACAGAACCCCAUGGUGCUGUUCUUGAAUAAAACCAUUUUUCAAAGGCAGGACUGUGCUUUAAAACAGAGCCAUGGCUUGUGAAAGGACUGACUCAAUACGUGCUGGGAUCUGCAGGGUCCCAGGGAGGAUGCCAGCUCUGAUGAUAGGAUUUUUUUUUUUUGUAUGGUAGGGACCUCUGGUUAGUUUUCUGCAGCAAAACUAUUCACAACAACAGACACACACACAUAAAAAUCCCCAUGACUUUUCCCUAAUGGGAAGAAACGUAGUGAUCAAAAUUUUGGCCCUUUUAAAGCCCCUUUGAAGUCAGAGGCCGAGGUUUUGUAGUUGUUUUUUCUAAAGCUCUCUGUAACUGCUGACAUAUGCUGCACAUAUGGUUUCAAUGUGAUUAGACUUCUGAUCUGUUUUCUUUCUUUUUGACUUGACAAAGUACCUACUCACUAGCCACAUUUCCAUGAGGAAGGGACUUUUAAUAGGAUUCCCAGAAAGAAAUGCACUUCUGCAGAUUCACUAAACAAAUAAUAAUCUCUCUUUUUUGAUUUCUUUUUCCUCCCUUUGAAAUAUGUGGGAAUUUGCCCAAAGGAGGGAAGCUUUAGGUGGGACCAUGCUUUACUUCCCCAAAUGCCCUCAGGAAAAAUUACUCAAGGGUAAUUACACAUCUUUGCAGAUGCACUGGGAAUACACAGAUCACUUGCUCUAGUUAGACAGCACUGGAUCUGCAAGCGUGAAGCUAUGUUAUUAUUUGUAGCAUGGAAAACGUCUGGAGGCCCCGCUGGCAAAUGAGAUGCCCCUGGGCGAGAUGCUGCUCGCAGCAGGGGGUGGAAAUUCAGCCCCAUCUCCUGAAGAAGACAAUCUUAAAGAAGAAUGGUGUGCUGCAGUCAUGAGGAUCACUGCAGGCAGCACAGAUGCUCUCUGGGGUUUCCUCUUAAGUACCAUUAUGAGGGUUAAGGGUAUGUCUUGAAUGUCUUCAGGUGGCAGGUUGGGACCUUUGAGUCUUGAAGACCACCUGAGAUCUGCAUGAAUCGAUACCCAGAGACAAAGGUCCUCCUCGCUUGUUUGGCUCUUCUAAAGAUCUUGGUGUCAGAGUAAAGUUUGGCCCCAUGUACACUAACAAAGCAGUUGCCAUAUGACAGCAGAUUUAUGCUCAGCCUCCUCUUGUGUCCUGGAUGGUAGCUAAGCUCUGAUGCCGCCAGGCACAGCAGGAGAGGUGCAGGGCUCUGCUCCACGCGUGGUGCCAGACCUGUCCGCCCAAUCCUGCCGCACAGAGGCAGCUACUGGUUGUCAGAGUAUAUCGACAUCUAUGUUGCUUGUGAAAUUUUCACCACCUCAUUUUGUUUCUGCACACCUCUGAUCUCUCUCUUUGUCCUAUUAACUUCCCGUAGGUCUGCCAUUUCUCAUUCCCUUUAGAAAUACCUAAUCCUGCUUUGAAUCCUAACAGUUUCCCCCAUGUGAUUCUUGUGGCAAUGAAUCCUCCAGGCUCAUCAAACAUGAGGUAAAAUCAGAAGAGCUGAUGCAAAAAUGGUACCUACCCUUCCCAAUUCAUCCCCUAUGCAGCCAAACCCUCCCAACCUUUUCAGGGGUCUUGUUUUAUUGUAUCUGCUCCGUUUAAGCGCCAGGUUUUUUUCCAGCAGUGAACUUUGCAUUUACCCACAUGGAGAAAAACGGUUGUGAAUUUUCCUGACCCGUUGCCUGUUGAUUACGAAGUUCAGGAGAUGCAAGAUUAACCCCGGGCUGUGAAGUGUCUAAGCUGAAGUCAGCUGAUAAAAGCAGAAUGCAAAAUCACUGCUGCGCUCAGUUUGCCAAGAUAAAAGUUCACUAAGUUUGUAAA